AGGAGCGCGCCUCCGCCAUCGACCGCCAGAAACCGUGAGCGCGCUCGAAAGACGGUUUCAGCCGCGUGCUUCGGCGUUGACCAGUGCGAGCUCCACAGCUUACUGUCGGAGCGCCUAUAGGCCUCCAUGCAUCCGUUUGAGCAACCUUGUGCUCAAAUAUAGGUGAAAGUCUGUGCCGGUGUCAUAUAAAUCUCAUUACGGGGCGCUAAAACAGAAAAGAGGCACCAUGUUCAGUUUUCGCAUGGAGAGAAGAAUGAUGAAUAGACUGGAUGAACACGUGUGCUGGAAGCAGUUCAUUCCCCAAUACAGCAGAUGGCAAUGUUCCUCCAGGCUGAACACAUUUGAGACACCUACAGGGUUUCAUGGGACUUGGAAUCCAAAAAUACUUAAGUACCUCUAGAGGUUGCUGCGGUGGGGUACUACCCCAGAUUCUACCUAACCCAGAUGACCAGUCCUGGGAUAUCAGAAGCAAUCCCAGGUCCAAUUUUAAAGAAGCCUGCAGACUCACCUCAGGUAGUCAGUGUUGGGAGGCAGUGGGCGACACUCAAUUGGAGGCGGAAAGAGGAAAAUAAUCUGUUUGUACUUGAGUAUUUUGCCUGGUGCUUAUUUGAAAAAUGUUGGUGACUAAUAAAAAAUUGUUUAUUUGAA